AAGAAACACAUCUCUGAAACCCAACGAGAAAGAACCCUACCAAACUAAGACGGCGCUUUCACACCUCCGAUCAAUUCGGCUGUAGUCUGUGCGUGCCGAAAUGACUAGAGCUUACAGGGUAAAGGGGAAGAAGAGGAAGAACAGGGACGUUGUUGAAAAGUACCACCGUGAAGAAAAAGAAGUCGAAGUCGAAGAUGAAGAACAAGUUCAACCAAAGAAACCAAAUCUUCAGAAGGAAGAACCAACACCAAUAAUAACAGAGGAAAACAAAAAUAACGAACUCAUUGUUAGAAGUCCCACAUUGGCUAGAGAUAUGGUAAAGAUAGCCUUUAUAAGUGUAGUGCAAACCUCAACUCUCAAGCUAGCUUUUGUGGUUGAGUAUAGGCCUCUAAAAUUCUAAUAUGGUAUCAGAGCC
rnacentral:lncRNA from 1 species